rnacentral:lncRNA from 13 species
GUAUAUGAAGGCUAGUGUAGGCGCAAAUGGAAGUAUGGUGAAGUGUCUAAGUAUCGUUUAUGUUGGCACCAGUAUGUGUUAAUGUGCACUCAUAUAUCUAUGGAUAGGAAACACAAUACACAAUGAAAAUAGGGGAAGGGACUGUGUGCCUGGCUGUGUUCUAGCGGGCCGGUGCUUCGGUAACAAGUGAAUCGAGCCAGACUACUACUAAAUGUCCUCAGACAGUGAUCGGUUGAUUUAAGCUUCGGUGUGACGGAGAGGAGAUGAAUGUCAGCGAUUCCUUUUUUUAAACCACAGAUUCAUCACCUGGCAUUGAGGGUAAUGAGCGAGGCGUGGAGGUGAACACAUUAAACCAAGCCGACUUUGCCCAGCCCAGCCAGGAGGGAUGAUAGAGACGGUACAGGAACAGAGGGGUAGCGGCCAGGACCAAACCAGACCCUCUCCACAUCCCUUCCAACUCCUCCAUGGUGGCCCCACACCUGUCCAACACUGGGAGAAUGCGCUCCAGCUCAAGCUGAAUCUACAGUAAAGGAGAGGUCUACCUUUCUCCACUUUCAAGAGCACAAUAGUAUUACAAUGGAAGACAACUGACGGCUGUUUACCUUGAUGCUCAGCAGUGUUUUUGUUUUCCAAGUUAACCACGCAAAGUGGCGUCCUGAUGUGAGUGAGCACACCAGACCUGUCUGAUUCCUGGAACCCCUACCAGCUCCAAAACAAGCCUCCCUCCCUCCCCAGGAGCCUGCCGUCCACCCAGUGGGAGGCUAUAUACCUGCUGAACAGCCCCGCGCAGCAGGGGGCCC